ensembl:lncRNA
GAGAGAGAGAGAGAGAGAGAGAGAGAGAGAGAGAGAGAGAGAGGAAAGUGAGUCGGGGGUUGAAACAGAGACAGGAAGGCAGAUAAAGAGAUGGUAGCGGUAAAGACAGCCCAUGGGGUCACGGAGAGAAGGUCAGCAUGGGUUUUGCAGUGUCCCCAAGGGAGGGACGUUCGAAGCACUAGCCAGCCAAUGAAGGAGCAGCCAGGACAGCGCUAUGUAUAGCCCCUAGAGGAGAGGGAGACACACCCCGACACUGGUGUUCCCCCCCGGACCCAACUCACCCCCCCUGACCCCAAUCAACCUGGCAUACGGCGGUAUAUGUCCCCCUCCAAAUGAACGCUGUGUACAUUUAUUGACAGCUGGACUUGACAGGCGCGUUGGACACCGUCUGUCUUCUCUCUAUAAGCGUUUGCUAAUUAUUCUAAAGAGGACUCUGUGCAUCGUCCCGCCUGCUCCAAUUAACCAAGAAAGCCGGCUCCUUGACGAACGGGGAAUAUACCCCGGAAUAUACAUCUGUCGAGGAGCGAACAAACCUGCUUGGCAGUGCAAAAUGCCUUCUAUCUCUCUCCCUUCUCCUCCACUCUGUUCUCUCUCUCUGUCUCCUGCUGCUGACGGCUGGCUCUUGCUUGGUGGGUGGUUGUGGUGUCAGGGUUUACACUGGAGGUGUGUUGGUCAGGGGGAGGCGACCAGAGACCCUUUACACUGGAGGUGUGUUGGUCAGGGGGAGGCGACCAGAGACCCUUUACACUGGAGGUGUGUUGGUUAGGGGGAGGCGACCAGAGACCCUUUACACUGGAGGUGUGUUGGUUAGGGGGAGGCGACCAGAGACCCUUUACACUGGAGGUGUGUUGGUUAGGGGGAGGCGACCAGAGACCCUUUACACUGGAGGUGUGUUGGUCAGGGGGAGGCGACCAGAGA